GAUGAACGCUAGCGACAGGCCUAACACAUGCAAGUCGAGGGGCAGCACAAGGUAGCAAUACUGAGGUGGCGACCGGCGCACGGGUGAGUAACACGUAUGCAACCUGCCUGCAACAUUGGGAUAACCCGUUGAAAGACGGCCUAAUACCGAAUAAAACAGGGACACCGCCUGGUGAUAUUUGUUAAAGUUCCGAGCAAUCGGAGCGGUUGUAGAUGGGCAUGCGUUUAAUUAGAUAGUUGGUGAGGUAACGGCUCACCAAGUCUACGAUCAUUAGGGGUUCUGAGAGGAAGGUCCCCCACACUGGUACUGAGACACGGACCAGACUCCUACGGGAGGCAGCAGUGAGGAAUAUUGGUCAAUGGGCGCGAGCCUGAACCAGCCAAGUCGCGUGAAGGAAGACGGUUCUAUGAAUUGUAAACUUCUUUUUUACAGGAAUAAAGUGAGGGACGUGUCCCUUUUUGUAUGUACUGUACGAAUAAGGAUCGGCUAACUCCGUGCCAGCCGCCGCCGUAAAAC
rnacentral:rRNA from 1 species